GCCUGGCGGCAGCUACACAUGCAAGUCGAGCGGUAGCACAGAGAGCUUGCUCUCGGGUGACGAGCGGCGGACGGGUGAGUAAUGUCUGGGAAACUGCCUGAUGGAGGGGGAUAACUACUGGAAACGGUAGCUAAUACCGCAUAACGUCGCAAGACCAAAGUGGGGGACCUUCGGGCCUCAUGCCAUCAGAUGUGCCCAGAUGGGAUUAGCUGGUAGGUGGGGUAACGGCUCACCUAGGCGACGAUCCCUAGCUGGUCUGAGAGGAUGACCAGCCACACUGGAACUGAGACACGGUCCAGACUCCUACGGGAGGCAGCAGUGGGGAAUAUUGCACAAUGGGCGCAAGCCUGAUGCAGCCAUGCCGCGUGUGUGAAGAAGGCCUUCGGGUUGUAAAGCACUUUCAGCGGGGAGGAAGGCGGUGAGGUUAAUAACCUCAUCGAUUGACGUUACCCGCAGAAGAAGCACCGGCUAACUCCGUGCCAGCAGCCGCGGUAAUACGGAGGGUGCAAGCGUUAAUCGGAAUUACUGGGCGUAAAGCGCACGCAGGCGGUCUGUCAAGUCGGAUGUGAAAUCCCCGGGCUCAACCUGGGAACUGCAUUCGAAACUGGCAGGCUAGAGUCUUGUAGAGGGGGGUAGAAUUCCAGGUGUAGCGGUGAAAUGCGUAGAGAUCUGGAGGAAUACCGGUGGCGAAGGCGGCCCCCUGGACAAAGACUGACGCUCAGGUGCGAAAGCGUGGGGAGCAAACAGGAUUAGAUACCCUGGUAGUCCACGCUGUAAACGAUGUCGAUUUGGAGGUUGUGCCCUUGAGGCGUGGCUUCCGGAGCUAACGCGUUAAAUCGACCGCCUGGGGAGUACGGCCGCAAGGUUAAAACUCAAAUGAAUUGACGGGGGCCCGCACAAGCGGUGGAGCAUGUGGUUUAAUUCGAUGCAACGCGAAGAACCUUACCUGGUCUUGACAUCCACAGAACUUUCCAGAGAUGGAUUGGUGCCUUCGGGAACUGUGAGACAGGUGCUGCAUGGCUGUCGUCAGCUCGUGUUGUGAAAUGUUGGGUUAAGUCCCGCAACGAGCGCAACCCUUAUCCUUUGUUGCCAGCGGUUAGGCCGGGAACUCAAAGGAGACUGCCAGUGAUAAACUGGAAGAAAGG
rnacentral:rRNA from 1 species